ACGUUUUUUUCAUAGAGAUUUAGAUUUAAGGUUAGAAGAAUUGUGGAAGUCGUGAGACUUCCCUUUUUUUUAUCCUUAUGGAAAUUAUCCUCUUGCUUUUCACUAUUUUUGAAGGUUUGUAGGACGUUUGUUUAUCGUAAAAAAGAAAGGGGUUGUGUCGCUAAUCUGACACAACCCCCUU
rnacentral:sRNA from 1 species